rnacentral:rRNA from 1 species
GACGGAGGAUGCAAGCGUUAUCCGGAAUCAUUGGGCGUAAAGCGUCCGUAGGUGGCUGUUCAAGUCUGCGGUCAAAGCACAAGGCUUAACCUUGUAAAGGCCGUGGAAACUGAAGAGGCUAGAGUGCGGUAGGGGUAGAGGGAAUUCCCAGUGUAGCGGUGAAGUGCGUAGAGAUUGGGAAGAACACCGGUGGCGAAAGCGCUCUACUGGGCCUGCACUGACACUGAGGGACGAAAGCUAGGGGAGCGAAAGGG